rnacentral:ncRNA from 1 species
AAAAGUUUGAUUCUUGCUUAUAUUUUUGUUUUUAGGUUAUGUGCAGAUGCAUAUUUUGGUGGGAAUUAGGUGUAAUUAUUUAAGGGAUUUACAUAAAUAUGGUGAGGUAUAUGAAGUCGCAGUGUAGAGUUUUAAGGAUUGAACGGAAGUUUGAUUUAGUAAAUUUAAAAAAACUUGAUUAAAUUUUGUGCCAGCAGUCGCGGUUAGACUCAGGAGUUAAACAAAAAUGUUUCGGUUAAAGUUAUUAUAGAUAUUAGGGUUUAAAUGUCAAUUGAGAUUUAUGGUUAAUAAAAGGUGGAAUUGGUUAUGUUAGAGACAAAUUGAGAUUGUGGUUUAAACUAAAGGAGACUUGAAAAAUUUAGGCAUAAAACAGGAUUAGAUACCCUGUUAUACUUAAAAGAAACAAACAGACUUGAAUAUUAGUAGCUAUGAGCUUUAAAUUCAAAGAAUUUGGCGGUAUUUUAGUCUUGUUAGAGGAACCUGUUCUGUGAAUGAUACUACACGAAGAAUCUUACUUACUUUUGUUUUUCAGUUUGUAUACCGUCAUUAUUAGAUAACCUUUAUUGAGAAAGUUAUUGAAGUAUAAAAAGUUAAAUAUAUUAGAUCAAGGUGCAGCUAAUAGGUAAGGAGAAAUGGGUUACAAUGGAAUUAAUUUAAACGUAUUGAUUAUUGAAUAAUAAUUAUGAAGGAGGAUUUAAUUGUAAUGAAAGUUUAAUAAGCUAACAUGAUAUGAGAACUAAAAUAUGUACAUAUCGCCCGUCGCUUCCAUUUAAGGUGGAAUAAGUCGUAACAUAGUAGGUGUACUGGAAAGUGCACCUAGAAUUAUU